UACGGAGGGUGCGAGCGUUAUCCGGAAUCACUGGGUUUAAAGGGUGCGUAGGCGGCGGGGUAAGUCAGUUGUGAAAUCUCUUGGCUCAACCAAUGAAAUUGCGAUUGAUACUGCCCUGCUUGAAACAGGUUGAGGUGAGCGGAAUGUGGCAUGUAGCGGUGAAAUGCAUAGAUAUGCCAUAGAACACCGAUUGCGAAGGCAGCUUGCUGGGCCUGAUUUGACGCUGAGGCACGAAAGCGUGGGGAGCAAACAGG
rnacentral:rRNA from 1 species